GAUGAACGCUGGCGGCGUGCCUAAUACAUGCAAGUCGAGCGAACAGACGAGGAGCUUGCUCCUCUGACGUUAGCGGCGGACGGGUGAGUAACACGUGGAUAACCUACCUAUAAGACUGGGAUAACUUCGGGAAACCGGAGCUAAUACCGGAUAAUAUAUUGAACCGCAUGGUUCAAUAGUGAAAGACGGUUUUGCUGUCACUUAUAGAUGGAUCCGCGCCGCAUUAGCUAGUUGGUAAGGUAACGGCUUACCAAGGCAACGAUGCGUAGCCGACCUGAGAGGGUGAUCGGCCACACUGGAACUGAGACACGGUCCAGACUCCUACGGGAGGCAGCAGUAGGGACUCUUCCGCAAUGGGCGAAAGCCUGACGGAGCAACGCCGCGUGAGCGAUGAAGGUCUUCGGAUCGUAAAACUCUGUUAUUAGGGAAGAACAAAUGUGUAAGUAACUAUGCACGUCUUGACGGUACCUAAUCAGAAAGCCACGGCUAACUACGUG
rnacentral:rRNA from 1 species